CCAUAGUCACUGAUGAUGGAAAACACGGGCUUCAACAGAUGUCGCUGCUUCAGAUGUAGAAGCACCCACAAAACUCUUGUAUCACAGGAGCGAACCCACCAGCCACCAGUGACUGCAUGAGGCCUGUCCCCCAGGUCUUCGCUCUCAACAGGAAUUCCCUUUGCCGUAGCUUUCAGCUUUCCGCAGUGCCAGCAGUCGUGACUGGUUGUGGCAUCUCUCACAAAGCACAUUGGAUGUUGUUUUAAAGUCCCAUGGUCAGAGCUAAAAAUAGGACUAUGCUGUAUCAUCUGAUGUUUUCAGAUCAUCAGCCACACCACUCCCCUCCUUUCUGAAACCAACAGAGAAUAUCACGCUGGCCCAUUACAUUGAUGACAUUAUGCUGAUUGGAUCCAGUGGAUGAGAAGCAGCAAACACAUUGGACUUAUUGCCACCCCGAAUGAAUCUCAACAGUUGAUUAUAUCAGACCUCUUCCAUCAUGGAAAGGGCAAUGGUUUGUUCUCACCAGAAAAGAUACUUAUUCCAGAUAUGGGUGUGCCUAUCCCGCACACAAUGCUUCUGCCAAGACUACCAUCUGUGGACUCACAGAAUGCCUUAUCCACCAUCAUGGUAUUCCACACACAUUGCCUCUGACCAAGGCAUUCACUUUACAGCUAAAGAAGUGCAGGAGUGGGUUUAUGCUCAUGGAAUUCACUGGUCUUACCACGUUCCCCAUCAUCCUGAAGCAGCCAGAUUGAUAGGACAGUGGAGUGGUCUUUUGAAGUCACAAUGACACCACCAACUAGGUGACAGUAUUUUGCAGAGCUGAGGCAAAGUUCUCCAGAGGGUUGUGUAUGCCCUGAAUCAGCAUCCAAUAUAUGGUACUGUUUCUCCCAGAGCCAGUAUACCUGGGUCCAGGAAUCAAGGGAUGGAAGUGGAAGUGGCACCACUCACCAUCACCCCUAGUAACCCACUAGCAAAAUUUUUGCUUACUGUUCCUGCAAUACUAUGUUCUGCUGGCCUAGAGGUCUUAGUUCCGGAGAAAGGAAUGCUGCCACUAGGAGACACAACAAUGAUUCCAUUCAACUAGAAAUUAAGAUGUCACCUGGACACUUUGGGCUCCUCCUACCUUUAAGUCAACAGGGUAAGAAGGGAGUUACAGUGUUGGCUGGGGUGACUGACCCAGUCUGUCAAGAUGAAAACAGUCUAUACAGGAGAUCCCUUAAGGCAUCUCUUAGUAUUACCAUACCCUGUGAUUAAGGUCAGUGGAAAACUACAACAACCCAAACCAGGCAAGACUUCAGAUGACCCAGACCCUUCAGGAAUGAAGGUCUGGGUCACUCCACCAGGUAAAAAUUCAUGACCCACUGAAGUGCUCACUGAAGGCAAAGGGAAUACAAAAUGGGUAAUAGAAAAAGACAGUCAUCAAUACCAGCUAUGACCACACAACCAGUUGCAGAAAUGAGAACUGUAAUUGUCAUGAGGAUUUCCUCCUUAUUUUGUUAAGAGCAUGUUUGUGCAUGUAUACAUUUGUACUAAGAAAAUAUCUUCACUUUUAUUUCCUUUCUCCUUCAUCAUGUGACAUAAGAUUUAUUGACUUUAUAUCAGGAUUUAAGUGUUGUUAACUUUAUGUAAUAGCAUUUAGGUUAAUGAUUAAUGCACUUCCUGUUUGUAUAGAGAAUAGCUGUAUUAAGUUAGGCAUAAUUAUGACCUUAUUAUUGAUUGUCUUAUUUGAAGAUUAUGUAUGGGUUCAUGUUGAUAGGGAUUCAAGUUGACAAAGGGUGGACUUGUGAUGGUUAAUAUUGAAUGUCAACUUGAUUGGAUUGAAGGAUGCAAAGUGUCAUUCCUGGGUGUGUCUGUGAGGGUGUUUCCAAAGGAGAUUAACAUUUGAGUCAGUGGACUGGGAAAGGCUGACCCGCUCUCAAUCUUGGUGGUACGGAACCAUCUAAUCAGCCUCCAGCAUGGCUAGAAUAAAGCAGCUAGAAGAAGUUGGAAGACUUCACUCGCUGGGUCUUCUGGCCUUUAUCUUUCUUCUGGGCUGAAUGCCUCCUGCCCUCAAAUAUCAGACUCCAAGUUAUUCAGCUUUUGGACUCUGAGACUUACACCAGUGAUUCGCCAGAGGCGGAGGGGCCUUCAGCCACAGACUGAAGGCUGCACUGUCGGCUGCCCUACUUCCGAGGUUUUAGGGCUCAGACUGGCUUCCUUGCUCCUCAGCUUGCACGUGGCCUAUUGUGGGACUUUGCCUUGUGUUUGUGUGAGUCAAUACUCCUUAAUAAAUGCCCCUUCAUACAUACAUCUAUCCUAUUAGUUCUCUCCCUCUAGAGAACCCUGACUAAUACAGGUUUCAAGGAAAGCAUGGCUACCUUGCAAUGGAAAGGAGAGUAAAUAAACACGGCCCAGAAAUCCUGUAUUUACAGAGAAUAAAAAAUAACCCUAUGUCGAGAAAAUUUCUAUUAGCAUGGACUAAAAGUGAUGAGUUUUUGAGAUAGAAAACUGUCCCCAGCCUCCUCCUACCCCAGCGUUCUUCAGGGAGGGUGCAGGCUGAGAGGGUGGCUCAGUCACCAGAUAGGGCAUAUUCUCCAAUGGCCUCUUUAGAAGUGACCAAGGGGGAUUUUGGCAAAGGACUUCCCAAAGAGUGGAGCCAAAAACCACAGAGAAAUAAUGAACUGAGAUUUGGGAAGCUAUGCCCAGGGAGCAGUAAUGAGGGUCUAAGCCAAUAAGAAUAUUCCCUUCUCCCAAGGUAGGGGAAUGUGGCAACAUUCAUUGACCAGGAUUUCACAGUGGCUAUAGACAUGACCUCUAUGUGCACCUCACUCUUUUCAUAUGAAAAUGAUGCCAGCAGGGGAGGAGAUCUGAAAGGAUCUUGGGAUGGACGUGAGCACCUUUGGGAGGGAUGUGGCGAAAGGUAAUGGAAAGCAGACUGGGGUUGACUGAAUUCUUGGUGCCAGUUCUUUUUUCCCUCAUAAGAGAAUUAGAAAUAACACAUUCUUGCCAUCUUCUCAUAACAAGCAGGGGGUAUUUUCCACCCCUCACGUUAGGCUGGGCCAUGUGACUACCUUUGGCCAAUCAGAAGUUGUCAGACAUUGAGCAAGCAGAUGCUUACAAUGUGCUGUGUGGUUGCACUCACCCUCCUGCCCACUACGAGAAUCCCAUGAGAAGAGCUCCCUCAGGUAGCAGACACCCUGUCAACCUGGGCUCCAGAAGGAACACCAUGCAACAUACCUGAGCCGGGACCUGCAACCUGCAGCCAAGGCCAGUUCGCCUGAAGCCAAAAGCAGAGUCUCAUGCCAGAUAACCUGCAAACAUACGCAAAAGAAGUAAAUGUUUGUUGUUUUCUGCCACGCAGAUUUAAUGUUUGUUAUGCGGCUUUAUUGAGGCAAUAGCAGACUAUGAUAUGUAUUUUCCCAUGUCUUUUCAUAUUCUUUAAAUAGCACUCUUGUAAAUAUAUUGAUUCCAUUGAAAAAUUUCACUUAGUUCACUAUUUUCUGAUUCUGAAAUACCAGGUUUUUUUCUGAAUUUAUUUUUGACCUCUAUUUUUUGCUUCUUAUAACAAUGCUGUUAAUAAGACAUGAAUGCAUGUUUUCCAUACUUUGAUUUGUUUUCAUAGGGUUAAAACUAGAUAAUAACAUCUACUUCACUGGGCUGUUGUGAUGAUUGAAAGACUUAAAAUAAUUAAGUGCUGAGCAUAUCAUCUUUCAUGUAACCAGCAUUCAGUAAUGACUGUUAUUGUUUUUUGUUGUAGAGUUCCAAAAGUUGGACAAACAAUUUAAAGCUCUUAAAAUGAAGUGUAAAACUAUUUUCCAAAAGUUAUAUCACUUUAUACGGCUAACGGCAUCAUAUGAGUUUUAGCACACCUUCAAACAACUCCAUUAUUUUAACUUUAGCUAUUUUGAGAGUUGAGAACUAAUGUCUUGCUGAUAUUUUAUUUUUUAUUUGUUUUUUUUUUUUUUUGAGACGGAGUUUCGCUCUUGUUACCCAGGCUGGAGUGCAAUGGCACGAUCUCGGCUCACUGCAACCUCCGCCUCCUGGGUUCAGGCAAUUCUCCUGCCUCAGCCUCCUGAGUAGCUGGGAUUACAGGCACGCACCACCAUGCCCAGCUAAUUUUUGUAUUUUUAGUAGAGAUGGGGUUUCACCAUGUUGACCAGGAUGGUCUUGAUCUCUUGACCUAGUGAUCCACCCGCCUCGGCCUCCCAAAGUGCUGGGAUUACAGGCUUGAGCCACCGCGCCCGGCCCGAUAUUUUAAUUUUUAUAGUUUUUAUUACAAGUGAGAUGGAAAUUCUUAUAAAUUGUCUAACCAUUUAUAUUUUCUCUUCUGCAAAUUACCAGUUAACAUGUCCAUUUAUCAUGUUCCUUUCCAUCCAGUCAUGAUGUUGGUCUUCCUCUGACCUGAUAGACUUACCUGAUGCCAAAGACCUGAUUGAUUUUCAUGCUGUUCAAUAUAAUAGUCACCUGUGGCAACUGGGCACUUGAAGUGUUUCUAAUGCCACAAGUUGAUAUGAUAAUAUUUUUUAUAUAGUGAGUGCAAUGAAAUAUAUUAUUAUAAUUUAUUGUAUAUGUUUCUUUUUACUUUUUAAAAUAUAGAUACUAGACAAUUUGAAACUACUUAUUUCUAUUGGACAGAGCUGCUUAGACCUUUAAAUAUCACUUGCUCUGAAAUCCUCCUUUGUCAAAACUCCCAUUGCCCACACCCUCAUGUUGGCUUCUCCUACUAUUACAUGGUCCCUCACCUGCAAUCUGUCGUCAUACCUUCUAGACAAUGCUGCGUUGAAGCCAAUCCCUCUCCUCCAAGUCCCUGCUGCAUUUCAUUCUUCAAGUCUCACCUCCUCCUAAUUCAGUCUCAUCCCCCUGUGAUUAAUCCUCCCGUGUCUAGCAACACAUCUCAAUUAGGUUCUAUCACAGACUCCUGAAUGAAAUGGCAAAUCUGAUAAGGAUGUUUAAAUCCUAUAAUGUGUGUUAAAUAAAUUAUCCUCACUGCUAUCUACAUGUGUAUAUUCUAUUUCUAGCAAUGAAACAUAUGGCUUUUUAAAUGCUGAGUUUUUUUUAUUUGAAAAUGCCAUCAAAAGAUCACAAACAUACAAAGCUAAUAAACAAUUGCAUAUGUUUUUCAAAUUCCCCUGCCUCUGCCCACACCUUCAAACGUAACCGCUGUGAAUCUCAAACCACAUUUGGUGAAGACAGCCAAAGGUUAUGCCUGUAGCCACGAAUGCUCAGAAGUUCCCUAACACCAACUCCACCUGACCAAAAUGUCACAGACAUUUACUCAUAAUUCCUGGGGUUUUUGAGUCUAGAAGGCAGCAUGGGUAUGGGUUAACUUACCUGGCCACAGCAGAAUUUGUAAAAGCCCUUUAUGAAGGAUUCAAGAGAAAGAAAUCUGUAAUGCUGAUGCAAAGUAGAAUUCUUAAUGUAUUGAAAGGGAUUAUCAUGUGUAACGUGGGAAUUCAACCUUGUCUGUUUGAUCCACAGCUCUUUUUUUCUUGCCUGAAUUCAUAAUCGUGAAGCUCAUUUGCCUUAGGGAAGUAUCUGCAGCACAUCUUUAAUGCCAGACCAGCUCCUUCCUCUGUUCUUGCCCCUUUCCAGAAAGCGACUUCCCACCUCCCCCGACAUCCCCACGGCUGCCCAGGAAUUAAAAGCAAUUUGAAUAUGUAAUCAUGUGGAAUAAUAAACACAAGUGUACUCUCUGGGGUGCUCGCUGGCUGCUACUGUCUCCUUGCAACUACUUUCCCAAGUGCCUUAGAGAGAUGCUGAGAACACCAUGUUGACGGUUAACCUUUUAACAGUUUUGCCAUUUUCUGUUCACCCUGGCUACAAGCCCAGCUCUAAAGGAGGCACAGGAAGUGGGGUGAAGGAAGGGUUUCCUUCCUUCUGAGACUCACUGGAGACACGUUCUGCAUAGCCUGAGGAAGAGAGUUGGGCAGGCUUUGAAUAGUGUAUUUUUAAAACAUUCAUUAUUCUGACAAUGGAGUUUUGUGAAACCAGCUUUUAUUCCUUUUAUGCAAGUUAAUAGAGAUUUUUCAAAACACAUUACCAUACCAGGAAGUAAAUAACUAUUGCCUUGUUUUAUGAAUAUAAGAAAUUUCUGUCAAAAUGCCUAAAUAUUUUGAUUUAUUUAAAAGUAGAUGAGCUGAUGUGUAGGUAUUUAUAACAUCAAAGUACUAUUCUGAUUGAAUCAGUUUCAAAAAUGCAACAUAAAAGGUAGAGCAUUCAUCUUAAAUAGCAAUUUAGAAGUGGUUGCUUUGGGUAUUCUGUGGCUUUCAGAAUCUGAUUAUUUUGAUACUGAUACUGAUGUUUUGAUGCAAACACUAGAGUGAUCAAUUUGGUGGAUGCGAGGGAAGGACCUCGCUCUGUAUCUAAUACUCCUUACUAAAAUGUAAAAGUACCCAUUGUACCUCUUGGAUAUAUGAGAAUAAUGAACAGUACCAGUAAAUAUCUGAAUUGCAA